rnacentral:rRNA from 1 species
CAGGACGAACGCUGGCGGCGUGCCUAAUACAUGCAAGUCGAACGGUCUUUCUAAUGGAAGCUUGCUUCCACUGAGAAGAUAGUGGCGAACGGGUGAGUAACACGUGGGUAACCUGCCCAUAAGAGGGGGAUAACAUCCGGAAACGGGUGCUAAUACCGCAUAGUUUUCUUGAUCGCAUGAUUGGGAAAGGAAAGACGGCCUUUGUGCUGUCGCUUAUGGAUGGACCCGCGGCGUAUUAGUUAGUUGGUGAGGUAACGGCUCACCAAGACGAUGAUACGUAGCCGACCUGAGAGGGUGAUCGGCCACAUUGGGACUGAGACACGGCCCAAACUCCUACGGGAGGCAGCAGUAGGGAAUCUUCCGCAAUGGACGAAAGUCUGACGGAGCAACGCCGCGUGAGUGAAGAAAAGGUUUUCGGAUCGUAAAACUCUGUUGUCAGAGAAGAACAAGUUGGAGAGUAACUGCUCCAGCCUUGACGGUAUCUGACCAGAAAGCCACGGCUAACUACGUGCCAGCCGCCGC